rnacentral:rRNA from 1 species
UACCAGCUCUCCGAGUGGUAGGGAUGAUUAUUGGGCUUAAAGCGUCCGUAGCUGGCUUAGCAAGUCUCCUGUUAAAUUCAGCGACUUAAUCGCUGAGCCGCGGGAGAUACUACUAGGCUAGGAGGCGGGAGAGGUCUACGGUACUUUCGGGGUAGGGGUGAAAUCCUAUAAUCCCGGGAGGACCACCAGUGGCGAAGGCUGUCGACUAGAACGCGCUCGACGGUGAGGGACGAAAGCUGGGGGAGCGAACCGGAUUAGAUACCCGGGUAGUCCCAGCUGUAAACGAUGCGGGCUAGGUGUUGGUGUGGCUACGGGCCACUUCAGUGCUGCAGGGAAGCCAUUAAGCCCGCCGCCUGGGGAGUACGGCCGCAAGGCUGAAACUUAAAGGAAUUGGCGGGGAGCACCACAAGGCGUGAAGCUUGCGGUUC